UGCAGUUCAGCUUGAAUAUCUUCCAGGAGAGUACACGCAAGUAUCAAAUGCUUAACGUUCCCCACAAGUUUUCUUGCGCUAGCAAGAUGGCUACCGUAUCACAAGCUACAGCGAGUUCGCAAAUCAGCCCAAGCUAGCAAGUCCCAAAUCGUCCAUGGCUGCAGCUUUCGGUCCUGCUACUGCGAAGGUUUUGCGCAUGACGUCACAGCGGGUAGAAGUCACCGUGCUCAAAAAAACCGAGUGGCAGCAUUAGCGUUCAGCGUGCAUGCCGCAAUAAGGACAUCUAAAGUGGGAAAGAGCUGUCAUGCCAUUGAACGAAUAGAUUUAACAAGAAAUAGGAGCUAUCUUUUUACAGACUGCCAAAAAGUACAUAAGGUAAGUAAUCGGAAAGUAAGUAUCGGACGUGGAUCGGGCACGUAUGGUCGAUACUCGAGCAGUCAAAUAGGUCUGGAUCGGUGCAUCUCUAAUAAGUGUCAGUCCCUUAAUGGCAUUAAAGUAAUUUUAUUUUUUAAGUUAUCUGCCUGUAAAGCAUGUGAACUGAAAUAUGCUUCUCUGUGAAGGAAAAAAAAAUCUAUUAUUUUCCUCUUAAAUGAGCCUGACAUAGAGUUCUUGAGUUCAAAUGUGUUUCCUUUACUCUGCUAAUUAAUUGCUGUGAUUCUUGUCUUUGGCUGUUAUUCGUUUCCAGGCAAAUGAGUUUUGAAAACUGACUGAACAGAACUAAGGCGUAAAAUGAUUUUAACAUCGUUUUGUAUGAAUCCUUAAUGGACUUCGCCAAUCGUGACUGUUCGGUCUAGUACACCAGCUCGACGAGAGAGCAUUCCUCUUUAAACUGGCAAGCGGAAUCAAAUCAUUACAGUUGCCUCACUGUGCCCUGCUGUGCAUGCCGGCAAAAUGAGUCCAGGCUCCUUUGCAGUAUGCAGAGGUGAAAUCUGCAGCUUAGAGGUACCCCUGACUCUCACAUGAAGAACAUCCACUUUACCGUGUGAAGGAGACCUUAUGGGGGAAAAGAUAUGAGAAGCUCAUCGCAGACAGUGCAUUCAUAAUCAUGCUUCACCCAAGGAAACAUGUCAAAUGUUUAUAUUGCAACAUAAUGUUCCAUCAGGUGCUCAUAAGGUACAACAUACAGUGGUUAGAAACUCAAUGCUCUAAUCCUCAAUGCGCUUUACUUUGGGGCUUCGAUGUACUCUGCAAAUCUGCAGAGCAGAGAUCUGCAAAGCGACCGCACUGCCUCCCAUGUAAUGGUACAGCACACAGCCUAUCAAACUUACCCAUAAUACUUGACAGCGAUAGUAAAUAUGUAUUUUAUCCAUUUAUGAUUUACUGUCAUUUUAUUAAUAUUUGAAUGUAUAUUCACUGGUAUGAAGUAUUUUAGCUUUUUACAGGUACAGUGUUGAUAUACUGUGUACCGUACAGCAUAUCGAUAAUGUGCUGCAUGUAUACUGUGUAUAUGAUGUGCCCAUAGGGUCCUUUUGGACAGAAUUGACCCCGGAUGUGUAUGGAAUUAAACUUCUGGAGCAAAAAUGUGGACCGUCUGGGGGUCCCCAAGGACUGGUGUGACAGGCAUUUAUUAGUUUAGACGAGGGGUGGCCAAUCAGUCCUCUAAUUAGUAAUCUAAUUAGGGAGUUGCAGUGAAAACCCCAGGUUCACAGUUCAGUUUAUUGGUUUGAUUUCCACUUGUAUUUGAAUACAGAUACAAGCAAAUUUGCCACCUCAACAAAUUCAGAUACAAAUACAAAUAUUGGGCUCUCUCCACAUCCCUGUCUGUUUAGACCCAUCUCUGACGUCUUAAGCAGUUAAAUUGGAAGGAAAAAUCAACAUUAUCCAGUCACUUGUACACUCCUUAGAAACAGUUUUGUUGCCAAGCAAUGUCAAGAAUGAAUCUUAACAAUGCAAAUUCAAGAAAGCCCUUUUAUGCGUCAGAAAUAUUGGCAUUCCAUUGUACAACACAGUACAAUAGCAAAUAAUGAAGUCGUAAAGCACUGUAUAACACAAAGCUGCAAAAGAGCAAUACAAGAACAACAAAAGAGCAACAAAAUUAUGCAGUGUGGGAAGCAAAAACACAACAAUGCUGUAUCACUGCAAUUUCUGGAGAACAUGGCCUGGCCAAAAAAUGUCACUGCUUGAAUUUAAAUUAGCAGGUACUUGAUAGCAUCUUUAUUAAAGCUUAGCAACGUUAUGCAGUGAUAAGGUGACAUCAGCUGGAUACCUGAAUCUACCGAACGGCCAGAUUACCCCAUCAAUGGAUUUUUUUUCUUACCUAAAGGCAUGGGCAUAUUCCGGGAUGAUAAUGCCAAGAUUCAUGGGGCUCCAACUGUUAAAGAGUGGUUUAGGAAACAAGGAAUCUUUUUCACACGUGAAUUGGGCAGCACAGAGUCUUGACCUUAACCCCAUUGAAAGUCUUUGCGAUAUGCUGGAGACUUUACAGAGUGGUUCAACUCGCCUAUCAUCAGUACAAGAUCUUGAUGAGAAAUUAAUGCAAAUCUGGAUGAAAUUUUUUUUCCAGAUGCUACAUAAGCACAUGGAAGCAAUGCAUUGACGAACAUGCACGACAAAGAAAGUUAUAGGCAGUCCAACAAAAUAUAAAAUUAUGUGGCUUUUUUUUGGACAGGCAGUGUAUGCUUUUGAAUUACUUUGAAAACUUGGUUAACUUUUUUGCAUGUGGUGGUUUACAUGAUAAUCACACACAUAUAUUGUUUUGAGCGUAAAAUUAUUGCAAUUUUAUUACAGUAUUACAGUUAAUGACCGACAGAAUGAGAUCAUGGAUACAAGCGGCAGAAAUGGGUUUCCUCUGCAAUGUAUCUGAGCUCAGCCUUAGAGACAGGGCGAGGAGCUGGGGCAUUCAGGAGGAGCUCAAAGUAGAGCCGCUGCUUCUCCUCGUUGAAAGGAGCCUGUUGAGGUGGUUCAGCAAUCAGUCUAGGAUGCCUCCUGGACAGCUCCUUGGGGAGGUGUUUCAGGCAUGUCCAAGAGGGAGGAGACCCUGGAGCAGACCCAGGACAUGCUGGAGAGAUUAUAUCACUUGGCUGGCCUGGGAAUGCCUUGGUAUUCCUCUGAUGGGGUUGGAAGAGGUGGCUGGGGAGAGGGAGGUCUGGGCAUCCCUGCUUAGACUGC